GGAGGAGAUGAGCGUUAGGAGGAGUUAUGGGGCGUAAAGCGUGAGUAGGCGGUGGGUUAAGUCAGGUGUGAAAGAUUGGGGCUCAACCGGAAAAUUGCAGUGGAUUUUGGGUAGCGAGAGUGCGGUAGAGGAUGGCGGAAUCUCU
rnacentral:rRNA from 1 species